UCGUCAUCUAAUUAGUGACGCGCAUGAAUGGAUUAACGAGAUUCUCACUGUCCCUAUCUACUAUCUAGCGAAACCACAGCCAAGGGAACGGGCUUGGAAAAAUCAGCGGGGAAAGAAGACCCUGUUGAGCUUGACUCUAAUCUGGCAUUGUUCGGAGACAUGCCGAGGUGUAGCAUACGUGGGAGACCCGGACCAAGGCGGGCGGUUUCGGCCGUUCGUCUCCGGGCCGACCUUGAAAUACCACUACUCGCAUCGUUUCCCCACUUACUCGGUAGAGCGGAACGCGCGGUUCCGGCCGCGGGCGCGUCCGGCCGGCGGUCGUCGUCCCGUCGCGUCGUCGGUUUGCCGUCGGUUCGCCGGCGCGCUACUGGCGCGCGGCGUGGUCGCCGUGCCGUCGGCCUGUGCCCGUUCGUGCCGGGCCGCGGUUGAUAUUCCGGUAGCGUUAAGCACCAGCCGAGGGAUCCGGGCGUCAAACCGCGGACCGCGUCCGUCCGCGUACGGCCGACCGUCAAAAGUCGCCGUCCGCGUUCGCGGCGUAUCCGCGGGCCCGGUCCCUGGUGCGAUCCGUAUUCCGAGGACACCGCCAGGUGGGGAGUUUGACUGGGGCGGUACAUCUGUCAAAAAAUAACGCAGGUGUCCUAAGCCAGCUCAGCGAGGACGGAAACCUCGCGUAGAGCAAAAGGGCAAAUGCUGGCUUGAUCCCGGACGCUCAGUACGCGUAGGGACUGCGAAAGCAUCGGCCUCUCGAUCCUCUCGUCCGCUGAAGAGUUUUCAGCGAGAGUGUCAGAAAAGUUACCACAGGGAUACUGG
rnacentral:ncRNA from 1 species